GACGUAGGGCGCAAGCGUUGUCCGGAUUUACUGGGCGUAAAGAGCGCGCAGGCGGCUGGUCAAGUCCGAUGUGAAAGCUCCCGGCUUAACUGGGAAAUUGCAUCGGAAACUGAUCGGCUGGAAGGUGGGAGAGGGUAGCGGAAUUCCCGGUGUAGUGGUGAAAUGCGUAGAUAUCGGGAGGAACACCAGUGGCGAAAGCGGCUACCUGGCCCAUUCUUGACGCUGAGGCGCGAAAGCUAGGGGAGCAAACGGG
rnacentral:rRNA from 1 species